GCUCCUAUAGCUCAAAUGGAUAGAGCACCGGUCUUCGGAACCGGGUGUUAUGGGUUCGAGUCCUAUUGGGAGCACCA
rnacentral:tRNA from 1 species